AAUUUAUUAGUGAAAAAUAAUGUAAAACGUGUACCUAAAGUACGGUGCCAAAAUUAUGUUGAAAAUGUAGUGUGGCAUUAUACUGGCAAUGUUUUUAAAAGCCAUUUUCGCCUUAGUCGACCAACAUUUACUUUUUUAUUGGAGCUGUUAACUCCGCAAUUAUUGAAACAGUCUGAAGAAUGUGGGAGGCAUACUAUUCCACCAGAGAAGACAUUACUCUUGGCAAUAUGGAUGAUGGCAACUCCCAAUUCGUAUAGAUGUGUUGCUGAUUGAUUCAAUGUCGGAAAAGCAACGGCUUGGAGAUGUGUUCACAAAGUUGUGAAUGCAUUAUAUUCACAUCUUCAUACAUUCAUUACAUGGCCAGACAGAGUAAGAGCAGAAAAUAUUUGGACACAUGUUAAAAACAAAUACAAAUUUCCAAAAGUGAUAGGAGCGAUAGACGGUACUCAUAUAAAAAUUGCAGCACCGAAAUUACAUCCAGAAGCUUACAUAAAUAGAAAAGGCUAUCACUCUAUACAGACACAGAUAAUAUGUGAUAAUGAAUUAAAAAUCACUUAUGUUUAUGCAGGACAAGUAGGGUCAGUGCAUGACAUGAGAGUUUUUAGAUUAUCUGGCUUUGAAGACAUGUGUACCGCAGAAAACUUCCCAGAGAAUAGCCAUUUAUUAGGUGAUGCCGCAUACGGCAUCCAAAAAUAUAUAAUGGUUCCGUUUAAAGAUAAUGGACAUUUAACAGAUGCACAAGUAAAAUAUUAUAUAAUACUUGUUUGUCUGAAGCGAGAAUGAUGGUAAAAAGAACAAUAGGCUUGUUAAAAGGAAGAUUUCGAAGUCUUUUGGAUAUAUUACCUAUGAGAAGAACUGAUUUGAUACCUAAAUAUAUUUGUGCUUGUUGUGUUUUACAUAAUAUUUGCUUAAUACGAAAUGAUUACAUUGAUGAUAUUCCAAUUAUUGUACAGCCAAAUGAACCUGUACAAUAUGAAAUCGAAAAUAUACCUCAAAUUAUACGAGAAGAAGGUAUUGAGAAACGUAACGCUAUUGUAUA